UUGACGAUAAAAUGAGAAUCAUUAUUAUUCGACCCACUGGCCUCGCGGCCAGCUGGAUAAGCUGACAAGCCCAGUAUUUCGGACUCAUCAGGUUAUCUCCUCAUCAGGCUAAUCACGGUUAUUGACCCGGCACAUCGCCGGGUCUUUUUUUG
rnacentral:sRNA from 1 species